rnacentral:rRNA from 1 species
AUGGACUUCGGUACUGAUGAGCGCCAACACAGCCAUGGCGACGGCGGCGACGCGGCGGAGUGGAAGAAGGUGGUGGAGCUGAGGGCCGUCGCCGAGGCCCAGGACCCCGCGGCCAAGGAGGAGGACGAUUUCGUGCUGCGCCGGUUCCUGCGUGCACGGGAUUACAACAUUGGUAAGGCGUCGAUGAUGCUCCUCCAGUACCUCGCCUGGAAGCGCGUCGCCAAGCCCCAUGGCUCCAUCUCUGACGAGGAGGUGCGCGGCGAGAUCGCAAAGAAGAGGGUCGACAUGCAGGGCUUUGAUUGUCUUGGUCGCCCCAUGGCGUAUAUCUAUGGCGCACGCCACUUUCCCGCCCGGCGAGACCUCGACGGAUUCAAGCGCUAUGUAGCCUAUGUCCUCGACAAAAUCUGCACGAGGUUGCCGGUGGGGCAGGAGAAGUUUGCGGCGGUGAUAGACUUGAAAGGGUGGGGGUAUGCAAACUGCGACAUCCGAGGCUAUGUGGCAGCGCUAGACAUCAUGCAGAGCUAUUACCCAGAGCGAUUGGGGCGUGUGUUCCUGAUCCACGUGCCCUACAUGUUCAUGGCCGCAUGGAAGAUGGUCUACCCCUUCAUCGAUGAAAAGACAAAGAAGAAGUUUGUGUUCGUCGCCGAUAGGGACCUCGAUGCCACUCUUCGGGAUGCCAUCGAUGAGUCCCAACUCCCCGAGGAAUACGGCAGCAAGCUCAAGCUAUAG